AGAGGGAAAUAGCCCAGCGCCGAAUCCUGCAGCAUUAGCUGUUAGGAAAUGUGGUGUUUAGGAUGUUUCCUGGGUCAGACUAUUAUUCCUAAGUCCACUUGAUUGUGGCUCCUAGCCCAUGGAGGGUGUAAGGCCCGUGUGGAAUAAUGGUUUGCGCCCCGACGCGUCCUUCGAGUCGGGUUGUUUGAGAAUGCAGCCCAAAGCGGGUGGUAAACUCCAUCCAAGGCUAAAUACUAGCACGAGUCCGAUAGCGAACAAGUACCGUGAGGGAAAGUUGAAAAGAACUUUGAAGAGAGAGUUCAAUAGUGCGUGAAACCGCUCAGAGGUAAACGGGUAGAGCCGAAAUUGAUGUUGGGAAUUCAGCCGGUUAGACUGUUGGUAUCUUUGUCAGAUCGCCUACGUGACUGUCACCUGAGUGUCCGACGGUUUGACUGGUGCACUUUCUCAACGUCUUCACCACGACCAGCGGGACCAGCGGCGAAAUGUGUUGAGGUGGUAGCGCUAGCCUAGGUUAGCGUGAUAUACUUGGCAUGUUUUAGUUGCUCGGGUGCUGGAGACGGCGAUACAAGCGUACUUGUGCUCACAUGUUUAGUUUCGAUGGCGGCUGACGAGGUUGACUUCUUCGAAGAUGACUUUGUCAGCUGCUGUUGAUGACUGGGCCUCUGUGAUUUGUGUCAAUAGUCAGUGGUGGCAAAGUAGGCAGUCUACCCGGCCCGUCUUGAAACACGGACCAAGGAGUAUAACAUGUGCGCGAGUCAUUGGGUGUGUCUAAACCCAAAGGCGUAGUGAAAGUAAAGGCUUGAUUACUCAGGCUGAGGUGUGAUCCUGGCUGGGGCCCUAGAAGCUAGGCGCAACACCGGCCCGUCUAUUGGUGUUUUUCAUCGGGGCGGAGCUAGAGCGUACAUGUUGUGACCCGAAAGAUGGUGAACUAUGCUUGCGCAGGUCGAAGCCAGAGGAAACUCUGGUGGAGGACCGUAGCGAUUCUGACGUGCAAAUCGAUCGUCAGACGUGAGUAUAGGGGCGAAAGACUAAUCGAACCAUCUAGUAGCUGGUUCCCUCCGAAGUUUCCCUCAGGAUAGCUGGCACACGGGAAAUCAGUUUUAUCCGGUAAAGCGAAUGAUUAGAGGUAUUGGGCUCGAAAUGAGCUCAACCUAUUCUCAAACUUUAAAUGGGUGAGACGCUUGACUCGCUUAAUUGGAGUCGGGCAUUGAAUGAGUGUGCCUAGUGGGCCGUUUUUGGUAAGCAGAAGUGGCGCUGUGGGAUGAACCAAACGUUGGGAUAAGGUGCCUAACAUAACGCUCAUGAGAUACCACAAAAGGUGUUGGUUGAUCUAGACAGCAGGACGGUGGCCAUGGAAGUCGGAAUCCGCUAAGGAGUGUGUAACAACUCACCUGCCGAAUCAACCAGCCCUGAAAAUGGAUGGCGCUGGAGCGUUAGACCUAUACCCAACCGAUACAGCAUGUUUCGAAAGGAAGCUGUGUCGAGUAGGAGGGCCGCUGUGGUGAGCGUGGAAGCCGCGGGCGUGAGGCCGGGUGGA
rnacentral:rRNA from 1 species